GGCUUGCCCAGCCUACUCUUCUUUCUUCAGAGAUUGUGAAGAAUCCUCUGCUUUACCUGUAAGCUGACUAACACUAGCUUUGGCCUCAGAAACAAAUUUUGCAUCUGGCUCAUGCUUAUCUGAAGGUUCCUUCAUUGCCAUAUAAAUGUAGAAUGCAAUAACUAUGUUGACUGAUAUAACAGCAACAAAACCACUCAGCAGUGUCAAGGAAUGGGGAGAUAAAUGGCUUACACCAGGGAUCAAGUCAUGGUUAAAACCAUACAGGAUGCUAAUAGGAGCCAUCCACAUAAACAUUGAAGCAAUGAAGAACUUCUUUAUCCCCCCCGCCAUUGCCAACUCCUAAAAUCAAUGCCUCUGUUGUUCGAGAGCAUGCCCUUAUCGAAGCUGUAAAACGGGAUAGGCCGCGAUUGGAAAGCAAUUAGGUUUUUGAAACAGAAGU
rnacentral:misc_RNA from 1 species